rnacentral:rRNA from 1 species
CGCGUAGGUGGUAGUGACAAGUCUGAGGUGGAAUCUUAGGGCUUAACCCUUAAAAUUGCCUUGGAAACUGCAUUACUUGAGUCGAGUGAGGGGAGGGUAGAAUUCCUGGUGUAGCGGUGAAAUGCGUAGAUAUCAGGAGGAAGGCCGGUGGCGAAGGCGGCCCUCUGGCGCUGAACUGACACUGAGGCGCGAAAGCGUGGGUAGCAAACAGGAUUAGAUACCCUGGUAGUCCACGCCCUAAACGGUGGGCACUAGGUGUAGGGCUCGUAAGGGUUCUGUGCCGAAGCGAAAGCAUUAAGUGCCCCGCCUGGGGAGUACGGCCGCAAGGUUGAA